rnacentral:rRNA from 1 species
AUUGAACGCUGGCGGCAGGCUUAACACAUGCAAGUCGAGCGGAGAUGAGGUGCUUGCACCUUAUCUUAGCGGCGGACGGGUGAGUAAUGCUUAGGAAUCUGCCUAUUAGUGGGGGACGACAUUCCGAAAGGAAUGCUAAUACCGCAUACGUCCUACGGGAGAAAGCAGGGGAUCUUCGGACCUUGCGCUAAUAGAUGAGCCUAAGUCGGAUUAGCUAGUUGGUGGGGUAAAGGCCUACCAAGGCGACGAUCUGUAGCGGGUCUGAGAGGAUGAUCCGCCACACUGGGACUGAGACACGGCCCAGACUCCUACGGGAGGCAGCAGUGGGGAAUAUUGGACAAUGGGGGGAACUCUGAUCCAGCCAUGCCGCGUGUGAAGAAGGCCUUAUGGUUGUAAAGCACUUUAAGCGAGGAGGAGGCUACUGAGACUAAUACUCUUGGAUAGUGGACGUUACUCGCAGAAUAAGCACCGGCUAACUCUGUGCCAGCCGCCGCCGUAACAC